CUUCAGCUCGGGCCUGAGCAUUUCCAGACUGCUGGCUUGCCCUACAAAUUUCGGACUUGGCCAGCCAGACUCAGAAUUGCAUAAGCCACUUCCUUAGAAGGGGACAUGAGCUAUGAAGAUGCCUCUGCACCUUGCUGCCACGUAAGUGACAAACCUGUGGACAUUGAUGUUAAGCCUGGCGGAGCAGGAAGUUUUGCAGGGAACAAGGGUCUGUGAUUGCUUCACUGUGCUCGCCUACCAGCUUGGACGGUGUCCCUCUGGGCAUCUUAAUAUAUCUGAAAUCAGAAUGCGCCUCCCGAUAAAUGACAUCUUACAACUAAUCGGCAGGGUUGUUUCUAUGCUUUCUCUUUCCCCCUUUGGAAGUCCUUAAAUAAUGACACAUCUUACAAUGA